rnacentral:rRNA from 1 species
GACAGAGGGUGCAAACGUUGCUCGGAAUCAUUGGGCGUAAAGCGCGUGUAGGUGGCUCUCCACGUCGGAUGUGAAAACCCGGGGCUCAACCCCGGCAGUGCAUCCGAAACGAGGGAGCUAGAGUGCUGGAGAGGCGGGUGGAAUUCCCGGUGUAGAGGUGAAAUUCGUAGAUAUCGGGAGGAACACCAGUGGCGAAGGCGACCACCUGGACGGAUACUGACGCUGAGACGCGAAAGCGUGGGGAGCAAACAGG